AUUUGCAAAUGGAUAUUUGACGAGGUACGAAAUAAAAGAUUACUGCUCUCUACGAUUGUUGAAUAUUAGAAAAUGUUUGCUUUUCACAACUUUAAUAUGUACCCCUUUGUUCUUGCAUAAGCACUCCAUCUAUAUAUAUGAUCUUCAACAAAAGCAUUAACCUUUAAAUUUUUGUUAUUGAUGUUAUGCCUUGUUAUUAGAAAUGUAAAGUCCAAUUGUAAUGAGG
rnacentral:misc_RNA from 1 species